rnacentral:rRNA from 1 species
AUUGAACGCUGGCGGCAGGCCUAACACAUGCAAGUCGAGCGGAUGAAGGGAGCUUGCUCCUGGAUUCAGCGGCGGACGGGUGAGUAAUGCCUAGGAAUCUGCCUGGUAGUGGGGGAUAACGUCCGGAAACGGGCGCUAAUACCGCAUACGUCCUGAGGGAGAAAGUGGGGGAUCUUCGGACCUCACGCUAUCAGAUGAGCCUAGGUCGGAUUAGCUAGUUGGUGGGGUAAAGGCCUACCAAGGCGACGAUCCGUAACUGGUCUGGGAGGAUGAUCAGUCACACUGGAACUGAGACACGGUCCAGACUCCUAAGGGAGGCAGCAGUGGGGAAUAUUGGACAAAGGGCGAAAGCCUGAUCCAGCCAUGCCGCGUGUGUGAAGAAGGUCUUCGGAUUGUAAAGCACUUUAAGUUGGGAGGAAGGGCAGUAAGUUAAUACCUUGCUGUUUUGACGUUACCAACAGAAUAAGCUCCGGCUAACUUCGUG